CAAUUUGGUUUUAUGCCAGGAAUAUCAACCACAAAAGCUAUUUAUUUGUUUAGGAGACUGAUGAAAAGAUUUAGAGAAUGUAGAAGGGAUUUCCAUAUGGUCUUUAUCGACUUAGAAAAAGCUUAUGAUAGAAUCCCUAGAGAAUUAAUUUGGCAAGUGUUAGAGAAGAAUGGAGUAAAUAUGUGGGCAUGGUUAAAGAUAUUUGUAAUGGUUUAGUGACUAGUGUAAGCACUAUGGUGGAGCAGGGUAGUGAGUUCUCAAUUACAAUUGGAUUACAUCAGGGAGCAGCUCUAAACCUGUACCUUUUUGCACUAAUCAUAGAUGAGCUGACUAGAGACAUUUAAGAUCAGAUCCCUUGGUGUAUACUUUUUGUUGAUGAUAUUGUUUUGGUGGAUGAAACAAAAGUAGGGAUAAAUGCAAAGUUAGAA